CAAAGAUUAAGCCAUGCAUGU
rnacentral:misc_RNA from 2 species